rnacentral:rRNA from 1 species
GACGAACGCUGGCGGCGUGCUUAACACAUGCAAGUCGAACGGAAAGGCCCUGCUUUUGUGGGGUGCUCGAGUGGCGAACGGGUGAGUAACACGUGAGUAACCUGCCCUUGACUUUGGGAUAACUUCAGGAAACUGGGGCUAAUACCGGAUAGGAGCUCCUGCUGCAUGGUGGGGGUUGGAAAGUUUCGGCGGUUGGGGAUGGACUCGCGGCUUAUCAGCUUGUUGGUGGGGUAGUGGCUUACCAAGGCUUUGACGGGUAGCCGGCCUGAGGGGGUGACCGGCCACAUUGGGACUGAGAUACGGCCCAGACUCCUACGGGAGGUAGCAGUGGGGAAUAUUGCACAAUGGGCGGAAGCCUGAUGCAGCAACGCCGCGUGCGGGAUGACGGCCUUCGGGUUGUAAACCGCUUUCGCCUGUGACGAAGCGUGAGUGACGGUAAUGGGUAAAGAAGCACCGGCUAACUACGUG